UUAUUUUUACUUGUUUAUUUGUUGUAAUUGUGCGAUGGUAGCUCAGUAUUGUUCAGCAGAGUGUCUGUCAACAGGGGCGUAGCACAAAAUUCUGGACCCAUAGACAGUCUCUAUGGGCCCCUCCCCACAUCCUCAGCUAUUCAUUCUAGUGUCUUUGUGGGCCCUCCUCACAUGAGGGCCAUGUAUAAGAGUCCUCCCCCAAUACUACGCCCCUGUCUGUCAAUCUUGUACCACAUGUUUAACUGAAUCACAUACUUUCUGUACAGCAGCUAAAUCUACAACACCCUCUAGUGAAUUAAUUGGGGAAAUGAGUCACUUCGAAGAAUAGAAAUGCUUUCUUCUUUGGAGGGAGUUGUGCAGCACCUUUGUGGCUAAAAAAGAAACCCUGCUAUAUGAAAGAAAUCCUCAGGCAAUCUCAAGUUUUCACCAGGCCUAAUAUGAAAUCCUAACAGUCACUGAGGAGAGCACAGCUCUCAUCGUAUGUGAGACAUCUCCUCCAGAAAAGGUGUCUUCAUGCAGCCUGUGCAAAGCUGGUCCAUCCACAGCGGAGCCUCAUGCUGCAGAGGGGUGCGGCGGGGGUAGAACGUAUACGAGAGGUCAUAAUUCAAAAGACAGCUGAGGGAGGCCAUGUAGACAUCUGAGAAGCGACACAGACGUCUGGAGAAGUAGGUGUAUGACCGUCUUCUUUCACCAGUAACACCGGGAGCACCCACGGGAUCCUUGGGUCGCUUCUUAUCCCCAGUCGUGCAUCUGCGAAGAGGCUCGCUGGAUGUUGGUGCGUCGCCACUCGGCCUGUCUGAGUCCGAGCUGCAACUUUGUUCUUUUGUUUUUUCGCGGCCCUGCUUUCUUUCUCCGGUCACCCUGCAUGUGGUAGAAAGUCUGUUCACUUUGGGGGAUCGAGCAAGAGGAGGAGUCCUGUUUCCUGUAGUCCACAGUGUACGGGUUAAUGUUGUGCCCACUGUCUUUAAAGACAUUUUUACAAGUGCUAUGAGCACACGCCUAAAAACUGCUGCCUCUGCAAGCUGGUAGAUGAAAACAUCCCCUAGUCUUCAGUGUAGCCACGCCCCUUCGUUUAAAGGGGAGGGUCGGCAGUCCCUGCAGCCAAUCACAUAACCAUAGCUCUGACUAUCUGUGAUCAUAACAAACAUCUUUUGGGACAAAAUGUAAUUUUUAAUUUUGUAAGUUUCAAAAUGCAUUCACGACCUUCCUUUGUACACUGAAGGAGGAUAUCUUUACACAAAUAAUUUUUACUUUAGUUUAGCUGACAUUAUAAGCAAUGGUGAAAAGGGAGUAUUCAGAUCCUUUACUAAGUAAGUAAAAGUAGCAUUACCACAGUGUAAAAAUACUCCAUUACAAGUAAAACCCUGCAUUGAAAAUGUUACUUAAGUAAAAAAUAUGCAAGUAAUGUUAGCAAAGUGUGCUAAAAGUAUCAAAAGUAAAAGUCAAAGUAGAAAUUGGUAAGUGUUAUAUUAUUACUUUUGUAGUUGGUCAAGAUGGAGCUAAUUUUAAUCUAUUUAUUGUUGAAUGGAUGGAUUAAUCUACACCAGUGCCUCAUAUUUUAUGAUUAAUAUUUUAUGAUGCAUAUUUUACGUUUUGUGUGCAAAAAAUGCUAACUUAAGUAACUAGUAACUAAAGCUGUAAGGUAAAUGUAGCGGAGUAGAAGUAAGAAGUAGCAUAAGAUGGAAAUACUCAAGUUGAGUAAAAAGUACUUAAGUACAGUACUUGAGUAAAUGUACUUAAUUACUUUCCACCCCUGUGUGAAAGAGGACAUUAAAGUCUUUUUUAAACUUGUGCUGGUUCCUUUUUAUUUUAAUGUACAAAGGUAACUAAUUACAACUCAAGGGCUCUGUUGUUAUAAAAAAAAUAAUUCAAACCAACCGAUCAGAUUUUAAAAACCCUGACACAUGAAACGUUAUUGAUCUGGCUCUAUGUAAUAGGCCAGAGAAACUCUGCUUUAGUGGGGUUUUUGAUUUGGGUAUCUAUCAUACCAAUAUCAGACCACUAUUUGAUAGCCUGUGUUAGAAAUUUAAAAAAAGAAGACAUGCUAAAGCCAAUUUGUCAACAAGAAAAAUCUUGGAUCCCUAGAUCACAUUUAACACUCUGCUAUUAGAUUCAUAACCUGGAAAUCUUAUGGUACACAAUGGCUUAGCCUUCUUUCUGUGUAAGAACACAUUGAUCAUUGUUUGCUUAUAAAGGUAUUCUAAGUAGACUACUGUUUUAUUUAUCUUACUUCUCAUGUGGUGCCUAUCAGUUCUGCAGGCUGGCUCUAGAUACAGGUUCCAACAGUUAAGUACGAGGCAUGGAAAGUCUGUUGUACAACAUGUUGCUCCAUGCUCACGGAUACAAUCUACACCAGAUUAAGAAAUUUCAUAGUCUGAUGUCUCAAAGUAGUUUUGAGGAACUCAGAAUAACUUUAUGCUUUUAGUGAUACGGUAUUAACUUCGUAUUUUGAUGCCCUUUGAUUCUUUGCUUUUGUUUUACUGUAAUUUGACUGUUUUUGCAAUUUUGAUUAGUUCCAGGACCUGUGUCUUCAUCAGAUUGGGUUACGUGUGGUGGAAUUUUUAAAUUUAACAAAUCACAGAGGAACACUUGCACAAGAUGAAUCAUGUCCGGACUGCCCCAGAUUGUCUGGCACGUUACUCCAAAAUGGAAAUUCUAUUAUUAAACUGCUCAGCCGAGUCACCUCUAUAAGACUUCAGACGCAACAAAAGUUCAUUUAAAAUCUAGGAAAUUGAUUAUGCAGCAUGCUUGACAACUGGUUUAUGUUUACUUUCUCUCAUUUUCCUCCCUACUAGGAAAAAAAUUCCAUCAGUAUGCUAUUGUGGAAGUAAACCUUCAUUCACUUGUUUAUCACUGGGGUCUUGAGACAGAUGGCUAUUUACAUUGCCAUACAGAUAAACCCUGAGCUACUCAUCCAGGAAGAAGGAAGUAUUUGAGAAGCUUUCUUGAAAUUGUCAUGUGAAUUAAAUUUAUCAGGUGUUGAAGGGAUUAGCCAAAUAGUCGCUGGUAGAUUGAAUCAGAUUGUAUUGUUAAAUAGUCUGUCUGGGAUUUCAUGAGCUAUAUUCACCUUUUGUUGCCACUCAGACCUCUUGAUUAACCCUGCCCACAACCUAUUGUUUUAGACUAUCCUUGUUGUAACAGUAUAAAACCUUGCGCCAAACGUCAAUUUUCAGAGAAUUCUACAGCCCUGUCUUUACUGUGCAGUGAAUAAAACAUCUGAACCAGCCACAGAAUUAGACUUGAAGUCAUUGUUCUUCCACACUGUGUUACACAUGACGAACACUGUGUCUGGACUCAAAAGACCACGAUCAAUAUGCAGUGUUGGCUUGCUUUUAUUCUUCAUGACAAAUGUGAUUCACAGGUCAAUGAAAGGAACUUGCAUACACAUAAAAAGUUGAGGACCAUCAAAUGUGUUAUGCGGAGUGUGUGCAAGUCAUCCUUAGAACAAUUUACACAGAAUGCACACCACAUAAAUACAGUUAAAAUAUUAUACAACAAUGGUAAUUAAAUUAAACACACAUCUUCACAGUGAAUUAAAUAGAUUAAGAAAUCCAUUUACAACCUUCAAAGCAAUAUGACAUAAUGUUAAAGCAUUUUCACUUUUUAGCAGGAGUUCAUGAAUAGUCAACCAAUAACAGUCCAGUCCAAAAACUCGUAUUACCACUUUCAAAACCUCAUCGUAACAUUCAAUCUAUAAUGUUUUUAAUGUAUUAUGUUAUUCAUUUUCUGUGUUCAUAAUCUUAAUACAGUAACAUUUCUCACAGUAACACUUCUCUAAAAUAAAUAUACAGCAGAUGGUGACCAUUAAUUUCAGGGGAAGCUAAUGUCAAACUAUUCAUUAGUUCAUACUGAUGAGUUCAUACAAGGCAUGCUACCUAAAAAGUGAAAAUAAUUUACCAUAAUGAGGUAUCACUUAGUUCAGUGCUAACACUGCUUAAUAGGUUUUCUCAAAAGUAAAACAUACCUUCAAAAAACAUCACAACUACAGUGUUGAAUAGUAGCCUCUACUUAGAAAAUGUGGUGUAGUCUAAAAACAACAGACAAGAUCAAAACCAAGGCACUAAAAAAAUAAAACCAUCAGCAGGAUGUAGGCUUCUUCUACUAAACCACAGGACAGUUGAGCUUUUU